rnacentral:rRNA from 1 species
AUGAGAGUUUGAUCCUGGCUCAGGACGAACGCUGGCGGCGUGCCUAACACAUGCAAGUCGAGCGAAGGGAGUACUACGGUACGAACUUAGCGGCGGACGGGUGAGUAACGCGUGGACAAUCUACCCUGUAGACUGGGAUAACACUGCGAAAGUGGUGCUAAUACCGGAUAAUGUCGAGAAGCGGCAUCGCUUUUCGAAGAAAGGAGGGAAUCCGCUAUAGGAGGAGUCCGCGUCCCAUUAGCUAGUUGGUGAGGGUAACGGCCCACCAAGGCGACGAUGGGUAGCCGGCCUGAGAGGGUGAACGGCCACACUGGAACUGAGACACGGUCCAGACUCCUACGGGAGGCAGCAGUGGGGAAUAUUGUGCAAUGGGGGAAACCCUGACACAGCGACGCCGCGUGAG